GUUAGUAUGGUUCUAUAUUCACAGUGGUGAAUAGCAUAAUAAGAUUCAAAGCUUUCAUUGUCCUAUCCUUAUUUGCUUUGUUGUUUUACUCCUUCCGCUUGCGCCCAUGACUUCUUUGAGAAUCUGUACGCAUGAUCAUCUUAGUUGCUGGGUGACUACUUGUUAGUAUGGGCUAUGGGGGGAAAAUAAAUCACUGUAAGAAUCAUCCACAUAAUGGGUUAUGGGGAAUAAAGGUAAUUUUACACAUAUACCUUAAUGUCAGAAUGGAUUGAGAACAGCCUUUAACUUUUGCCUUGGGAAUUUGCUGUUGCCUACACCAGCGAAGUGCGCAUGCCUGCAAAGAUGCG
rnacentral:misc_RNA from 1 species